rnacentral:rRNA from 1 species
CACUUUCAACAACGGAUCUCUUGGCUCUCGCAUCGAUGAAGAACGUAGCUAAGUGCGAUAAGUAAUGUGAAUUGCAGAAUUCCGUGAAUCAUCAAAUUUUUGAACGCAAAUUGCACUUCCUGGCAUCCCGGGGAGUAUGCCUGUUUGAGGGUCAUUAUAA